UACGUAGGUGGCAAGCGUUGUCCGGAUUUACUGGGCGUAAAGCGUGCGCAGGCGGUUAUGUAAGACAGAUGUGAAAUGCCCGGGCUUAACCUGGGAACUGCAUUUGUGACUGCAUGGCUAGAGUUUGGCAGAGGGGGGUAGAAUUCCACGUGUAGCAGUGAAAUGCGUAGAUAUGUGGAGGAACACCGAUGGCGAAGGCAGCCCCCUGGGUCAAGACUGACGCUCAUGCACGAAAGGCGUGGG
rnacentral:rRNA from 1 species